rnacentral:lncRNA from 1 species
AUAGAUAGAUAGGUAGGUAGGUAGGUAGUAGAUAGAUAGAUAGAUAGGUAGAUAGGUAGAUAGAGAGAUAGAUAGAUAGAGAUGUCAUUGUGAUAUCAAAUUGAUCUAGAUCGCAAGAACAAUUUAUGUAUUCAAUUGUAAAGCUUUAGUAAUCUUCUUUAGGGUAUAAAGGUGGAUCGUGUGGUAGCUAAAGUUUGAAGAGACUGUCCAAAACUUGUGUGGCAAAGUGGACCAUAAAAAGAAGAGAAAAUAGUGAAGAAUCUAAGAGGAUAUCUCAGACACCAUAUUAAAAAAUAUCACAACAAGUGGGGACUGGACUAACCCUGUUAUGGUGAACGAAGAUAACUUCUUUGCAUCGUCUUCUUUAUGCAUUACCUCCUUUAUUUGAUAGUUCAGAAGCAAGUUCAUUCAUUAAUUCUCUUCUUGUAUGGAAUUCAUUUUGAUACAUACUUCAUAUCAUCAUCAUAUAUGAACAUCUUAGGUUUGAGAAACACACAAAAUUCUCAAAGUGUUACAAUUCAAACCACAUUCCUUGUGACUAUUAUUUUUACUCCAAAUGCCAUCAAAGCACUUCAUCUUAGGUUUAAUCAUGUUUGGUACAUGAGCCUUGUAUCUUAGCUCUCAUUUUGUUAAUGUUCUAUAAUUAGUUGUUUUUUUUUUUAGGAUAGUUAUCUUUGUUUUAUUGGUGACUGACUUUUGUCUUAUAAAUUCUUUUGGGAUCUCCUUAUGGUUCAAUAUAAACUCAAGUCUUGCAGCAUAUAUAUAGAAAAUUAUCACUAGAGUGUGUACUCUCAACCUUUUUAUUUAAACAUAUUAUUAUGCACAUCAUUGCAUGCUCAUAUAUAUAAGGCACCAAAUGAUAUACACAUACUUUUUUUUGUUUCAAGAAUACACAUAUACUUUUUGAUAGUUGGUUUAACUAGAUUAUUUUGUUAAGGAAAUUUUAUCUUCCUCAUCACUUUUGAAAACAUUAUCUUCCAUGUUGCUCAUGAAAACAUUAUCUUCCUUGUCAUUUUUAGAAACUGCAUCUUCUCCAUCAAUUUUGGAAACUUGAUCUCCCUCAUCAUUUUUGGAAACUUUAUCUUCUUCAUUACUCUUGGAAACUCCAUCUUCUUCACCACUUUUGGAAGCUUUAUAUUCCCUAUCACUUAAGGAAACGUUAUCUUCUUCGUCAAUUUCCGAAAAUUUAUUUCCCUCAUCACAUAA